rnacentral:misc_RNA from 1 species
AAAUGCGAUACUUAGUGUGAAUUGCAGAAUCCCGUGAAUCAUCGAGUCUUUGAACGCAAGUUGCGCCCGAGGCCUCGGCCGAGGGCACGUCUGCCUGGGCGUCGCACAACCUAUCGCCCCCCGCCCUCCGGUGCGGGGGCGCGGAGUUGGCCGUCCGUGCCCCCAGCGGCGCGGUCGGCUGAAAACCACGCGGUCGUUGUCUCUCUGCGCCGGCGAACGGUGUCCGGGCCGCGCGAUGCGCGGUCGAUCGGCGCCGGCGCGGAGCAUCGGGCGAGCGUCUCCGCGAACAACUUCGAACUCCGGCCUCGGCCGCACCGCGCACGCGGGGCGGCCGUCCGGACGCUGCGCGCGACCCCAGGUCAGGCGAGAACACCCGCUGAGUUUAAGC